UGGCUUCUGGGAAAGGGCUAGCUGGGCUCUCUUCUUGCGCUGCAAGACAAGCCCGUGUAAGCUCACCUCUGGAACAUCUCCCGAGCUCUCGACAUUCACCCCUGCCCCGGGAAGGCCGUCACCUGUUCUGAUGGGGGCUUCCACUUCUGCCCCUUCAGCAGGACCAUGAACAUGGUAUCUUUUGCCAGGGCUUGGAAGUAUUCUUCUGUCUCCACGAUUGUGCCAUCUUCCUCCAGCACCAGGGAGAAGGGCUUGUCUUUAAGUUUCAAGAUGUCCUGGACCUGGAAGAAGGUUAGUGACUUUUCUGCCAUGCCUAUGGAGCAGCAGUGCUGAGAGGCAAAGACUUCCGCCAAAGCACCCAGCUGCCAGAGAAAGACCAAGGAAGCUGGGUCUUACUAAGACACUUAGGUUGGCCUGGACCUCACCAUGUAGCACAGGCAGGGGCUGCUGUCUGUUUCUCUCUUCCUGCCUCAGCCUCUCAGGGUAGGCAUGAGGCUCCUGGGAGAUCAGCAAUGAAGGUGCCCAGUGCAGAGCCUGGCCCUCUCUACUCCAGAUAUGACAGGAACCACAAUGGUGGCACUCGAGAAGAGUGUAACCUGGCACUUGUCCAGACUGCAGGCUUGGACACCACUGUAGGCAGCUCAGAUCUAAAUCAGAUCUGUCACGGCUUAUGGUCCAGGGAUCUGUCACCUCGUCAGGCCUCCGUGGACACUGCAUGCAUAUGGUGUAAAACACUAUACACCAGAGAGCCGGGACUAAAGGUGUGUGCCACCAAACUGGUUAAGACGAGUACUUUAUAAAUGCCUACACAUCCGUAGGCACAGCUGAUCAGGAAGCUGAUUCUAAGGCAGCAACACGAAGCUAGAGCUGUACAGCCUUUCUGUCCUGUAGUCACCUGUCCGGUGGGGACUCACUGGCUCUCACGAGAUGCAUUAUUUAGAGCUAAGCCAAUCCCUGGAAGAGGCGACAUUCCUUCAUCGAGUACUUUCAGUGUGUGCCACGCUAGGGGCUGACAAUACAUCAGAAAGCAAGACGGCCUUAGCCCACACCUGGAGGAGCUGGGCUGGAAACAGAAGCAAAUGCACGAAUGAGCAAUGGGAGCCAGGAGUGGUGAUGUACACCCCUCUCUCUCACCCG
rnacentral:lncRNA from 1 species